rnacentral:rRNA from 1 species
UGGGGAAUAUUGCACAAUGGGCGCAAGCCUGAUGCAGCCAUGCCGCGUGUAUGAAGAAGGCCUUCGGGUUGUAAAGUACUUUCAGCGGGGAGGAAGGUGUUGAGGCUAAUAACCUCAGCAAUUGACGUUACCCGCAGAAGAAGCACCGGCUAACUCCGUGCCAGCAGCCGCGGUAAUACGGAGGGAGCAAGCGUUAAUCGGAAUGACUGGGCGUAAAGCGCACGCAGGCGGUCUGUCAAGUCGGAUGUGAAAUCCCCGGGCUCAACCUGGGAACUGCAUUCGAAACUGGCAGGCUAGAGUCUUGUAGAGGGGGGUAGAAUUCCAGGUGUAGCGGUGAAAUGCGUAGAGAUCUGGAGGAAUACCGGUGGCGAAGGCGGCCCCCUGGACAAAGACUGACGCUCAGGUGCGAAAGCGUGGGGAGCAAACA